UAAAUUAAAACAUUAUUAUGAAAUGUUCAGUCACUCUCUCUAACUCUCAAAACCUGGAAUUAGACAUCGUCUCUCUCAGCCUCAACCCAGAACACAUCGACCUCACCAUCGACCAUCUCUCUCAGCCAGAUCCGGCGAAGGAAGGCAACUACCGAUGAAUGACGACCAAUUUCGGCUAACAUACAAGCAAUCUCCGAGAGAAAAGAAGACAUGCUAGCACAAAAGAAGAUACCAGAUGGGCAGAAAGAAGAAAUGUCACAGAACCGGAUGGAUUGACAAUAACAUCAUCCAAACCAGCUGUUCGUGCACCAGCAUCAAGAGCAUCAGGUGCAUCGAUUGUGGAUGAAAGCAGUGACGAAGACCUUACUUGAGUGUUGUUGAUCGUUGUUAGACUUUCUAUUGUCAUGUUCAAGGAUAUUUUAGUUUAGAACUUUAUUUUUUUAUGCAAACUCAUCUAUUUUAACUUUUGAAUUGUUGAUCAAACAAUGUAUUCAUAUUUUGUUUUUGUUUAUGGAUAAUGUUAGUUGGGUAUUUUAAUUUUA